GACAGAGGGUGCAAACGUUGUUCGGAAUUACUGGGCGUAAAGCGUGCGCAGGCGGUUAUGCAAGACAGAUGUGAAAUCCCCGGGCUUAACCUGGGAACCGCAUUUGUGACUGCAUAGCUGGAGUACGGCAGAGGGGGAUGGAAUUCCGCGUGUAGCAGUGAAAUGCGUAGAUAUGCGGAGGAACACCGAUGGCGAAGGCAGUCCCCUGGGCCUGUACUGACGCUCAGUGCACGAAAGCGUGGGGAGCAAACAGG
rnacentral:rRNA from 1 species